rnacentral:rRNA from 1 species
AACGAACGCUGGCGGCAUGCCUAACACAUGCAAGUCGAACGAGACCUUCGGGCCUAGUGGCGCACGGGUGCGUAACGCGUGGGAACCUGCCCUUAGGUUCGGAAUAACUCCCCGAAAGGGGAGCUAAUACCGGAUAAUGUCAUAGGACCAAAGAUUUAUCGCUUUUGGAUGGGCGCGCGUUGGAUUAGCCAGUUGGUAGGGUAAAAGCAUAUCAAGGCGACGAUCCAUGGCUGGUCUGGUAAGAUGAUCAGCCACACUGGGACUGAGGCACGGACCAGACUCCGACGGGAGGCAGCAGUAGGGAAUAUUGGGCGAUGAGCGAUAGCCUGAUCCAGCAAUGCCGGGUGAGUGAUGAAGGCCUUAGGGUUGUGAAGCUCUUUUACCCGGGAUGAUAAUGACAGUACCGGGAGAAUAAGCUCCGGCUAACUCCGUG